CCUUUCUGAUGCUUCGUAUACCACCAAGGAUGCUUUGCAUUCUGCCGCCGUCUCAGCCCCUGGGGCAGCUCCCCUUCUGACCCCAUGGGGCUGAAGUGGGACUGCAGCUCAUCGAAAAGAAACUGGCAGAAACUCAGAAUGUCAACAAGACAAAUGGGCUGACAAUGAGCGGGCUUAGAGAGCCAGCCAUUCCCGAGGGGGCUGGAUUCCACCCGGAGGCCACCUCCUGUUGUUUCUUAGGGUAAAUAGCCAGGAAGUGUCUCCCCUCAAGGCAGCCUUAGAGGAAUUCUUAGGACAAGAGGCUCUGGCUUAGAGACUUAUUUAAUUAAAACAUGUGGAUGAAAUGAGAAAGCAGGAUUGGGCCCAAGCCCUAGGAGGAGACUGGGCCCUGUGAAGUUCCAUACUGCUGUCCAGGGAUUGAGAAAUGGGGCCUCCCAGAGACACCUGCAAUGCCCAGCAGCACCUGCAAUGGUCGCAACUGAGUCACACAGCCCUGGCCAGGGGCCUCGGCUCUCGGCAUCCAGGGAUCCGGGAGGCUCAGAUGCACCUUGACCCUCCAGGGAAGCAUCAGCCGUGGGAGCCUCUCUGCGCUCCUCUGGUGGGCGAUGGGGCAGCAGCGGGACUUCCUGGGCUCUGAGGCAGCAGCAAUCCUGGGCAGACCCUGCACCCGUGCCCGUCUUCCCAGGCCCUGAUGUCUCAGGUGCGGCAGUGGGUGGAGAACACGAGGAACAGUGAUCCUUCGAGGAGCAUCUUUCUUCCCCUGCCCCCCACGCCUCCAGCCGGAGCUCCUCCAGGCCUGCCCUGACCCCAGGCCAGCACGGAAGCUGCGUGGGAACACUCGGGAGAGAAAGAAGGUGUUUCCUCGCACUUCACUUUCAACCUUUUUGUAACUUUAGAGUGGUUUCUUAUAGACAUUAUUUAGUAAGGUCUUUAAAAAAAAAAUAUAUAUAUAUAUAUAUAGUUUCAUAAUCUCUACCUUUUAAUUAUAAUAUUAAUGCUAUUUACAUUUAAAAAUCAUUAUAUAUAUGGUUGCUUUUAAGUUUAUCAUCUUGCUAUUUGUUUUCCGUUUGUCCCAUGUGUUCUUUGUUUCCCUCUUUUCCUGGGUUUUUUGCUUUAACUGAGCAUUCUUUUAGGAUUAAAAGACCAUGUCCUUUUGACUUGCUUUAUUAAAAACAAAUUUUUUAGUGGCAACUUUACAACAGUAUUUCUCAACUGGGGUGAUUUUGCCCCCUCGGAGACACUCACUAGUGUAUGGACAGAUUUUUGUGUGUCAUACCCGGUAGGAGGAGGGAAUGUUCCUGGCAUCCAGUAGGUAGAGGUCAGGAUACCACUAAGCACCAGCCGAAGCACAGGACAGCCCUCCACGAUAAAGAAUUAUCCGGCAGAAAAUGUCUCUAUUUCCAAGUUGAGACACCCUGCUUUCCAUGGUCAACAGGCAUAUUUAAUCUAUCACAGUUUAGCUUCAAACUAUAUUUUACCAUUUCAUAUGUAAGAAACUUUCACCAAUCCAUUUAUUUCCAUUAUCCCCCUUCUGCCUUUGAGCUAUUGCUGUCAUACUUCUACUUUCACAUAUUUUAUAACCCCCAUGAAGCAUUGUUAUGAUUUUUGUUUUAAAUAAUUAAUUAUCUUUUAAAUUAAAUGGAGGUAAAAAUCAUUUAUGUUGACCCAUGUUCAUCCUUUUUGGCACUCAGGUCCUUUACGGAGUUUCAAAUUUCCCUUUAGUAUCAUUUUUCUUUCUUAACCCUAAAGUGAUUCUUUUAAUAUUUUUCAUAGUGCAGAGCUGUUGGCAAUGGUUCCCUCAGUUUUGGUUUGUUUAAAAAUGUCUUUAUUUCACCUUUGUAUUUGAAAGAUAUUUUUACUAGAUGUAGAAUUUGAGAUUGGCGGGAUUUUUUUCAUUUAGCACUUUCAAUCAUUCCUUCUGUUAUCCCCUGGCUCAGAUAGCUUUUGAUGAGCAGUUGGCUGUUAUCUUUGUUACUAUGUAUGGAAUAUCUUUUUUCUCUGGCUGCUUUGAAAAUUUUUCCUUUUAUCACUUGUUUGAAGCAAUUUAGAUACUGCUUGUUAGUUAAAGGUUCUUUCAUUUAAAAAAAAUUUUUUUUAAGUUAUACCAUCUUGUUUUGUACAUACAGAAAAGUGCUAAAACUUACAGGUAAAGCUUAAGAAAAAUAGUAAAAUGGAUACCUACCUACCCACCACUCAUAUUAAUAAAUGUAUCUAUCCCACAAA